rnacentral:rRNA from 1 species
UGCAAGAAUGCUUGUGCGGCGAGUGAGCGGCAAAAGCUCAAAUUUGAAAUCUGGCGCCUUCGGUGUCCGAGUUGUAAUUUGAAGAUUGUAACCUUGGGGUUGGCUCUUGUCUAUGUUUCUUGGAACAGGACGUCACAGAGGGUGAGAAUCCCGUGCGAUGAGAUGCCCAAUUCUAUGUAAGGUGCUUUCGAAGAGUCGAGUUGUUUGGGAAUGCAGCUCUAAGUGGGUGGUAAAUUCCAUCUAAAGCUAAAUAUUGGCGAGAGACCGAUAGCGAACAAGUACAGUGAUGGAAAGAUGAAAAGAACUUUGAAAAGAGAGUGAAAAAGUACGUGAAAUUGUUGAAAGGGAAGGGUUUGAGAUCAGACUCGAUAUUUUGUGAGCCUUGCCUUCGUGGCGGGGUGACCCGCAGCUUAUCGGGCCAGCAUCGGUUUGGGCGGUAGGAUAAUGGCGUAGGAAUGUGACUUUACUUCGGUGAAGUGUUAUAGCCUGCGUUGAUGCUGCCUGCCUAGACCGAGGACUGCGAUUUUAUCAAGGAUGCUGGCAUAAUGAUCCCAAACCGCCCGUCUUAAACACAGGGAACCAA